GGCUCAGGAUGAACGCUAGCGGCAGGCCUAAUACAUGCAAGUCGAACGGUAAGGACCCGCUUGCGGGUCACACGAGUGGCGCACGGGUGCGUAACGCGUAUGCAACCUACCUUCAACUGGAGCAUAGCUCCGAGAAAUCGGGAUUAAUACUCCAUAACAUCCAUCAUUCGCAUGUUUGGUGGAUUAAAGCUCCGGCGGUUGAAGAUGGGCAUGCGUGACAUUAGUUUGUUGGUGAGGUAACGGCUCACCAAGACUACGAUGUCUAGGGGUUCUGAGAGGAUUUUCCCCCACACUGGUACUGAGACACGGACCAGACUCCUACGGGAGGCAGCAGUAAGGAAUAUUGGUCAAUGGACGAAAGUCUGAACCAGCCAUGCCGCGUGCAGGAUGACAGCCCUAUGGGUUGUAAACUGCUUUUAUAUGGGAAGAAUCUCCCGCACGUGUGCGGGAUUGACGGUACCGUAUGAAUAAGCAUCGGCUAACUCCGUGCCAGCAGCCGCGGUAAUACGGAGGAUGCAAGCGUUAUCCGGAUUCAUUGGGUUUAAAGGGUGCGUAGGCGGAAUGGUAAGUUAGUGGUGAAAUC
rnacentral:rRNA from 1 species